rnacentral:lncRNA from 1 species
AAAAAGAGUACUAUAGCCAAAGUUGCACUAUGCACUGCCACAGCUAUGAAGCACAGUGGAAUAAUUGCUAUAAAAGAGAACAUGAAGGCCAAUUCUUCAUUCUGCAGCUGAGGAGAUGAGCCCCUCAAAUCAAGAUUUAGUUCAGAUCACUGCAAACAUGAGACUUGGAAUGAAAAUCUACUCUGGCUCCCAAAUGACCUAAGUAUUUGCCUAAAACUCCACCUGCCUUUGGUUUCUUUCAGUCAUUAUUGGCUGACGGUAGUGCUAUUAGGUAAUCUCCCUCUCACAUUCAUGUUCUUUCACAGUUUUUCUUUUGCCUCAUUAGCAAUUGUUGCAUUUCCAGGUUUUUUGGCUCCUGCUGUGGUUUUAUUUGAACUUCAGCUUCAGUGAAUCAUUAAAGCAGUUCUUUGAUCUGCCCUUCUUGCCUUACCUGAAUUUGGCACAAAGAGAAGUUUUAUGUCUUUUACUAUGGAUUAUUUUGAACUUUUCCCAGGCUUCCAAUCUACUUAUUACAAGUAAAACCAACACAGUGAAAAUUCCUAUCUAUGAUAAAAGGAAUACUUGUAACUCUGGUUCAGUGUUAAACCAAUGUCUACUCUCCAUAUAUAUGCACCACCUGAAACCACUCCAAUAUCUUAUAAAAGUGAAAUCUCAUAUAUUUAGAGGAAGAAGCAUUUCUGUAUUUUCUCUAAGAUCAGGCAUAAGUGACAAGGUUGUCACACUUUUCUCAAAGGAAUUCCUCCAUUUCUUAGUUAUCAUAAUUAAUAUUGGCUACAUUACACAAAAAUAUGUUCCCCCAUUAUGAAUUAUUCUAGAAUGUAAAAGGUAGUUUUGUGUACCAUUGAAAAACAAAUAUGGUAAAAACAAUUCUUUCUUUUUCCCCCCAAAGAACAAUAUAAAAUAGUCCUUCUCAACCAUAUUAGUUCUGUGUCCAGUUUCCAAUUGGAUUUGUCACUUUAUUGAAUGAUUACUUGAAUUCUCAGUUCGUGCAAAGUGAAAAAAAAAAAAAAGAGGGAGAGAGGCAAAAAAUCGGGGGAUCAAUAAGGUUUAUAAAACUGUAAAGUGCUAGCAAACACCAACACUUUAGUACUUAACACAACAGAAAAUUAUUUAAUGCUGAAACUCUGGUUGCCACUGGGGAGAAAGUACAUCUAAGCAGAGGGUCAACAAUCUUUGAUCUCCUGCUACCACCAUUUUAAUCCACAAUUUCAUUAUUUGCAUGGCAGAUAAAGGGACAAAUGGGAUUAAAUGUUUUUGGAACAUUCCACUUCCCUUCAUAACCCACUGGUACAAUUUAUUAUAUGUUUAGCAACAGGGGAACUAGGAAAAUACAGGUCUUUCAUACCUGACAGGUAAGGAGAACUGAAUAUAGAAUAUAAUGAUUAAUCCUGAUUACAUAAGAAAAUGGUGAUUGAAAAUAUUGGAGCAAAAUCACAAAUCCAUAAAUGAAAGCACAUAAUAUAUUCUUAAAUUUUGUUCUAAAACAUAUACUGCCAAUAAUAUCUGAUAUGACAAUUCCUUACAUGUCUUUGAAUCAUAUUUACUACUUCUCUUUUGAGGAGGACAUUAUCAUUAUGGCUUCCUAAGAGAAUGGUGAGUGUGGGAUAAUAUAAUGACCCAUUAAUAAGUAUACAAAUAUGGGUGUUGAAAAGUG